rnacentral:rRNA from 1 species
AGUGAGCGCUGGGGUAGGCCUAACACCUGCAAGUCGAACGGCAGCACCGUAAGAGCUUGCUCUUACGGGUGGCGAGUGGCGGACGGGUGAGGAAUACAUCGGAAUCUACUUUUUCGGGGGGGAUAACGUAGGGAAACUUACGCUAAUACCGCAUACGACCUACGGGUGAAAGCAGGGGAUCUUCGUACCUUGCGCGAUUGUAUGAGCCGAUGUCGGAUUAGCUAGUUGGCGGGGUAAAGGCCCACCAAGGCGACGAUCCGUAGCUGGUCUGAGAGGAUGAUCAGCCACACUGGAACUGAGACACGGUCCAGACUCCUACGGGAGGCAGCAGUGGGGAAUAUUGGACAAAGGGCGCAAGCCUGAUCCAGCCAUACCGCGUGGGUGAAGAAGGCCUUCGGGUUGUAAAGCCCUUUUGUUGGGAAAGAAAAGCAGCAGGUUAAUACCCCGCUGUUCUGACGGUACCCAAAGAAUAAGCACCGGCUAACUUCGUG